GCCGGGGUGCCUGAGCGGUAAAGGGCACGCCUGGAGAGCGUGUGGCCCAUUGGGCCUCCAGGGUUCAAAUCCCUGCCCCGGCGCCA
rnacentral:tRNA from 1 species